rnacentral:tRNA from 1 species
GGACACGUGCCUGAGACACCAAGGAUUACCUUGAUGGGGUAAAAAACAGAGAUUAAAAUUCUCUCGUCUCCU